ACGAAUUUGGUUUUCGACUUUCAAAAUUUUUUCAAUUUAGUUCCCGAUUAUGCAUUUUUUACCCGAAUUGAUCCUAUAGUCAAACCAGCGUUUUUAAAGCAAAUAAAUUGAGGACAGAUUUGUAAUUUCACUUUAUUUCCUUUCUCGUUCAUUUUCAUCUCCACUCUUUGGUCCACGAAGCAGGGAGUAGUCAACGGAACUGAAACCCUUUUGCAUCCCCAUUUCUUACCAUCCGAUCUUUAAGCAUCUUAGUGUGAGGUUGAAGUCACCAGGGACGGCGAAGACGUCACUCACCCCUAUCUGCACAAGGUGGUGAGCGAGGUGGCGACAGACUGUAGCAGGGAUUCGUGGAUCAAAGAGUGGAUAUGAAAAUGCCUUCUCGAUGCAAUUAGGGCUCAAUUUUAAAAAAUCCUACCUAUUUCUGGCAAGGCGCACAUCGGAUCGUUAGAAUCAAGGAAUGUGCUCAUCAAAUUUACUGAAGAAAUCGAUUGUACAUGAAUUUUGGCGAAAGGCAGAGUAGAAAUCGAAGGAAAAUGGGCCAAGUUCGCUCGUUGGUCGCCGGAUUAGAGUUCGAAGAGAGAUUUACCGUUCGCAGCCAUAUGGCUUAAGUUGCCAAAAUUGCCUUAUCAUCUUUUUGAUCCACGGUUCGUCGAACAAGGCCAAGUACGGCUCGAGUGAAGGUGGAGUUGGAUUUGCUUCAGGAUCAGGAUGAAAAGAUUUGGAUUGAGGUCGUGAAUCAGGAAGGAGAAGUGCGUGGAUUUGGCAGAGGAUUGAGUAUGAACACAUUCCUAAAUUCUGUAGCGAUUGUAGGCGAUUUGGUCACCUGCUGCUUGAAUGUCGUCGAAAUCGAGGAAAUUGGCCGCCAACGGUGUUGACGGAGAAGAGAGAUGAGGGUGGCAGAGUCAUAGCAGAGGUGGAGGUGGAUCGUUGGAGUGAGACGCUGCCGGCUGAGAGAGAGUUGGAAACCGCUGCCUGCUUGCCGAUCUAGAGGCGAGUGAAGAGGUCUCUAAUGAACAGUGCUAAAUCUUCCGGGUGGAGGUAGAGGACCGGGAGGGGGGAGAGAGAGAGGACAAUAGCCGUGGACUCCCCAUUUUACCCUUUUAGUUUGAUCGACAAAUUACACUAAGGAUCAUUUCGGGUAAAAAGAACAAUCGGAGCUAAAUUGAAGAAUUUUGAAAAUUAAAGACCAAAUUGGUGAAAUUCUCAUAGUCGAGGGACCAAAUCGGUAAUUAACUCAUCCUUUUUGGUUUCCCUCCUGUUAUAGCACUAGCUUUCUGGCAUGUCAUCAUCACAAUUCACAAAAAGCACAAACCCUCUGGUCAAAAGGCAGAUGAAUAACAGAUUUGUGAGAGGCCUCAACCCUCCCCUUCCCCACAUUACAUAAUACAUAUUCAGAAAAAAGGAGAGACAACACAGAGCUGAAGAAGCUUCUCAUGUCAUAGCUACACAAAAGGCAUCACUAUUUUCUUGGUAAGCAAUUCUCUCCUAACCUCUCUCAUUCUUUACUGUUCUGUGCAUGCAUUCUCUUCCAUUCCAAUUUUUUUUUUGAUUCUCAAGUUUUGCAGUCUCAGAACAUUAAUGGAGUAGAAAGAAGAAAGAAGAAAUGUCUGCACACAAAAACAAUAUUAUAUAUUCACCACCCCAAUGAGUAUGAGUUACAUGUUACAUAUAAAUCAGGAAAAAAAAAAAAAAAAAA